rnacentral:rRNA from 1 species
CCUACGGGGGGCAGCAGUGGGGAAUAUUGGACAAUGGUGGGAACCCUGAUCCAGCCAUGCCGCGUGUGUGAAGAAGGCCCUCGGGUUGUAAAGCACUUUCAGUGAGGAAGAACGCCUGGUGGUUAAUACCCAUCAGGAAAGACAUCACUCACAGAAGAAGCACCGGCUAACUCCGUGCCAGCAGCCGCGGUAAUACGGAGGGUGCGAGCGUUAAUCGGAAUUACUGGGCGUAAAGCGCGCGUAGGUGGCUUGAUAAGCCGGUUGUGAAAGCCCCGGGCUCAACCUGGGAACGGCAUCCGGAACUGUCAAGCUAGAGUGCAGGAGAGGAAGGUAGAAUUCCCGGUGUAGCGGUGAAAUGCGUAGAGAUCGGGAGGAAUACCAGUGGCGAAGGCGGCCUUCUGGACUGACACUGACACUGAGGUGCGAAAGCGUGGGUAGCAAACAGGAUUAGAUACCCGGGUAGUC